CGGGGCGGUUCAGUCAGCCUCGAUAGCUGUUUUCGGGAGACAGGGGUCGGAGGUUCAAAUCCUCUCACCCCGACCA
rnacentral:tRNA from 1 species